rnacentral:rRNA from 1 species
UACGUAGGGAGCUAGCGUUAUCCGGAAUUACUGGGCGUAAAGGGUGCGUAGGUGGUUUCUUAAGUCAGAGGUGAAAGGCUACGGCUCAACCGUAGUAAGCCUUUGAAACUGGGAAACUUGAGUACAGGAGAGGAGAGUGGAAUUCCUAGUGUAGCGGUGAAAUGCGUAGAUAUUAGGAGGAACACCAGUUGCGAAGGCGGCUCUCUGGACUGUAACUGACACUGAGGCACGAAAGCGUGGGGAGCAAACAGGAUUAGAUACCCCUGUAGUCCCUGAGCGGG